GAGAAAUCCACCGUGUGAGUUCAAGACUCCGGAUGGUGGAGAGAGGCACUGGCGGAGAUCCAGCGGUGCAGCAGAGAACUGACCUUUACAUCCAGCCAGGCGGAAAAAUAAGGGGGAAAAGGCUAAAGCCAAUCACAGUCUCUGGACUGUGGGAGGAAGCCGGAGAACCCGCGCGAGGACCCGCGCAUACCCGGGGAGAACAUGCAAACUGCACACAGAAAGGCCCUGGUUGGUUUGAACCGGGACUCGAACCCAGAACCUUCUUGCUGUGAGGCGACAGCGCCGACCGCCACGCCACCGUGCCGCCCCAAGGCCCCUCAGAUCUCAGUGCCAGCAGGUCCAGCAGGUCCAGCAGGUCCGCCAACGGGCUGCCAGACUCGGAGAUCUGCUGCAGGAACUGAACUGAGCCACCUGAUGAGAGACAGAGUGCACUUCUGGCCCGCGAACGGCUCUUUUCGCCCGCCGCUGAAUCAGCGCUUCUCCUCCGUGCAGCCGGCCGUUCGGAGCCGCGGGACCUUCGCUGACCUGCGUUGAAUUAUCGCCGACUCGAGAGGCGGCGGGCGACAGGACGGGGAGAGGAACUCGGCACGUUGGAACCGAAAAACGGCAAUUGUCAUUAGAUUAGCCCUAAUGAAAGACGGAUGGGAACAGCUUCAGAAGCACCUGCGGCAAUUCACCGGGACGCAGGGACUCUAUCUUGACCCCGAUUCAUAUAAAGACUGGAGCCAGCCGUUUACCUCCACUGUCUGCGGUGUGUUGACUCUACAUCAACUUCUCCACUCUCACCAGACGUACGGGAGUGAGCGUUCAUGUGCCUCUGUGUGUGUGUGUGUGCAUCUCAUCUGCUUGUCUGCCUGCAGGUGU